AGCGGACGCUGGCGGCAGGCUUAACACAUGCAAGUCGAACGCAUCCUUCGGGGUGAGUGGCAGACGGGUGAGUAACACGUGGGAACGUGCCCUUCAGUUCGGAAUAACUCAGGGAAACUUGAGCUAAUACCGGAUACGCCCUUCGGGGGAAAGAUUUAUCGCUGAAGGAUCGGCCCGCGUCUGAUUGGCUAGUUGGUGGGGUAAUGGCCUACCAAGGCGACGAUCAGUAGCUGGUCUGAGAGGAUGAUCAGCCACACUGGGACUGAGACACGGCCCAGACUCCUACGGGAGGCAGCAGUGGGGAAUAUUGGACAAUGGGCGAAAGCCUGAUCCAGCCAUGCCGCGUGAGUGAUGAAGGCCUUAGGGUUGUAAAGCUCUUUUUUCCGGGAAGAUAAUGACUGUACCGGAAGAAUAAGCCCCGGCUAACUUCGUGCCAGCCGCCGCCGUAA
rnacentral:rRNA from 1 species